rnacentral:snRNA from 1 species
GUGUUGUAUGAAAGGAGAGUAGGUUAGCACUCCCCUUGACAAGGAUGGAAGAGGCUCUCGGGAUAAAUAU